rnacentral:rRNA from 1 species
AUUGAACGCUGGCGGAAUGCUUACACAAGCAAGUCGAACGGCAGCACGGACUUCGGUCUGGUGGCGAGUGGCGAACGGGUGAGUAAUGUAUCGGAACGUGCCCAGUCGUGGGGGAUAACGUAGUGAAAAUUACGCUAAUACCGCAUACGAUCUAUGGAUGAAAGCGGGGGAUCGCAAGACCUCGCGCGAUUGGAGCGGCCGAUAUCAGAUUAGGUAGUUGGUGGGGUAAAGGCCCACCAAGCCAACGAUCUGUAGCUGGUCUGAGAGGACGACCAGCCACACUGGAACUGAGACACGGUCCAGACUCCUACGGGAGGCAGCAGUGGGGAAUUUUGGACAAUGGGCGAAAGCCUGAUCCAGCCAUUCCGCGUGCAGGAUGAAGGCCCUCGGGUUGUAAACUGCUUUUGUACAGAACGAAAAGGUUACUACUAAUACUAGGAGCUCAUGACGGUACUGUAAGAAUAAGCACCGGCUAACUACGUGCCAGCCGCCGCAGUAA